UCCUACGGGAGGCAGCAGUCGGGAAUUUUGGGCAAUGGGCGAAAGCCUGACCCAGCAACGCCGCGUGAGGGAUGAAGGCCUUCGGGUCGUAAACCUCUGUCAGGAGGGAAGAAGGGGGCCGGGGAGAAUAUUCCCGGUUCAUUGACGGUACCUCCAAAGGAAGCGCCGGCUAACUCCGUGCCAGCAGCCGCGGUAAUACGGAGGGCGCAAGCGUUGUUCGGAAUCAUUGGGCGUAAAGCGCGUGUAGGCGGCCAGGUAAGUCGGGUGUGAAAUCCCGGGGCUCAACCCCGGAACUGCACUCGAUACUGCCCGGCUAGAGUCCCGGAGAGGAAGGCGGAAUUCCCGGUGUAGAGGUGAAAUUCGUAGAUAUCGGGAGGAACACCAGCGGCGAAGGCGGCCUUCUGGACGGUGACUGACGCUGAGACGCGAAAGCGUGGGGAGCAAACAGGAUUAGAUACCCUGGUAGUCCACGCCGUAAACGUUGAGUGCUGGACGUCGGGGGUAUUGACCCCUUCGGUGUCGAAGCUAACGCAUUAAGCACUCCGCCUGGGGAGUACGGUCGCAAGACUAAAACUCAAAUGAAUUGACGG
rnacentral:rRNA from 1 species